CAACACCUCAGCGCAAGCUGGUUUUGAGCCGUGAGGGUUCUCUUUCUGAGCCCUUCCGCUUUAAAGUUGUAAGCUCUGCUGACCUCCAGCUUGACCGGAAACAUAGUAAACCAUUGCUUGUUUAUGGAACGGUUGGGGGGUUUUCGGCCUGAACAAAAUCUUCAAUUUCUAAG
rnacentral:misc_RNA from 1 species